rnacentral:ncRNA from 1 species
CAACGUAAUACGGCGUUUUAUGCGGAAGAUUAAGACCAACCGCGUAGUGACUAGAACUCACAUCGGACUUCUUUAAGGAGAAAAAAAUCAUG